AGGGUUUGAUCAUGGGCUCAGAACGAACGCUGGCGGCGUGGAUAAGGCAUGCAAGUCGAACGCGAAAGCCACCUUCGGGUGGUGAGUAGAGUGGCAAACGGGUGAGUAACACGUGGGCAACCUUCCUCUAGGUGGGGGACAACCCUCGGAAACGAGGGCUAAUACCGCAUAAUAUCGUCGAAACUCCUGUUUUGACGAUCAAACGGCGGGGAUCUCUUCGGAGACCUGUCGCCAAGAGAUGGGCCCGCGCACGAUUAGCUUGUUGGUGAGGUAACGGCUCACCAAGGCUUCGAUCGUUAGCCGACCUGAGAGGGUGACCGGCCACACUGGGAUUAAGAUACGGCCCAGACUCCUACGGGGGGCAGCAGUCUAGAAGCUUCGACAAUGGAGGAAACUCUGAUCGAGCGACGCCGCGUGCAGGACGAAGGUCUUCGGAUCGUAAACUGCUUUCGCCAGGGGAGAAAGGCGCAUCGGUUAAUAGCCUUUGCGUCAGACGGUACCUGGUAAAGAAGCUCCGGCUAAGUCCGUGCCAGCAGCCGCGGUAAUACGGGCGGAGCAAGCGUUGUUCGGAAUUAUUGGGUGUAAAGGGUGCGCAGGCGGUCGUUUAAGUCGGACGUGAAAUUUCCACGGCUCAACCGGGAAACUGCGUCCGAUACUGAUCGACUUGAGUACGGGAGGGGAGCGUGGAAUUCCUGG
rnacentral:rRNA from 1 species